UCGGUAGCUUCUCUCUCUAUCUCUAUACAAUUCUAGAGAGAGAAAGUAGACAGAGAGAGAGCUUAAGGACCUAAAUGUAAAAUUACCGUCUUCGUUCUCUCCGCUUGGCAAGAGUAAGCAUCACAUCUUCUCUUCUGCUUCAAAUCUAGUUUUUUUUUAUUUGUGUCUUAAAUUUCUGUUGUAGAUCUGUUUUAAUAAUAGAUCUUGAUGUAAAUUUUUGAAUUUAGUUGUAAAUCUGUUUUUAAACGGUAACUUUUCACCUUGGUCCCCACAUUUUUUUGGCAUCUAGUGCCCGUCGCAAACGUCUAGGGCUUGUCGGAGAGGACGGGGACGUGGAGGGGGCGGGAUGGUGUACAUAUCGGCGACGGUCCUCUACGGUAUGGGGACGCCCCCCAUACCGCAUAGCCAUAUAGAUAAAUUAUCUAAAUCACUCCAUGGUUUUAUAUAAAUUAAUUAGAAUUUUUGUUUUUCACAUUCCACUUAAACAAUGAAAAUGUUAAAUAAUCAUUUUACUAUGUAUUUAGUCAUUUGGUUAACGAGUUAA
rnacentral:lncRNA from 1 species